rnacentral:rRNA from 1 species
CGAAUGGCUCAUUAAAUCAGUUAUCGUUUAUUUGAUAGUACCUUACUACAUGGAUACCUGUGGUAAUUCUAGAGCUAAUACAUGCUGAAAACCUCGACUUCGGAAGGGGUGUAUUUAUUAGAUAAAAAACCAAUGCCCUUCGGGGCUCCUUGGUGAAUCAUAAUAACUUAACGAAUCGCAUGGCCUUGCGCCGGCGAUGGUUCAUUCAAAUUUCUGCCCUAUCAACUUUCGAUGGUAGGAUAGUGGCCUACCAUGGUGGCAACGGGUAACGGGGAAUUAGGGUUCGAUUCCGGAGAGGGAGCCUGAGAAACGGCUACCACAUCCAAGGAAGGCAGCAGGCGCGCAAAUUACCCAAUCCCGACACGGGGAGGUAGUGACAAUAAAUACUGAUACGGGGCUCUUUUGGGUCUCGUAAUUGGAAUGAGUACAAUCUAAAUCCCUUAACGAGGAACAAUUGGAGGGCAAGUCUGGUGCCAGCAGCCGCGGUAAUUCCAGCUCCAAUAGCGUAUAUUAAAGUUGUUGCAGUUAAAAAGCUCGUAGUUGAACCUUGGGUCUGGCUGGCCGGUCCGCCUCACCGCGAGUACUGGUCCGGCUGGACCUUUCCUUCUGGGGAAUCUCAUGGCCUUCACUGGCUGUGGGGGGAACCAGGACUUUUACUGUGAAAAAAUUAGAGUGUUCAAAGCAGGCCUUUGCUCGAAUACAUUAGCAUGGAAUAAUAGAAUAGGACGUGCGGUUCUAUUUUGUUGGUUUCUAGGACCGCCGUAAUGAUUAAUAGGGAUAGUCGGGGGCGUCAGUAUUCAGCUGUCAGAGGUGAAAUUCUUGGAUUUGCUGAAGACUAACUACUGCGAAAGCAUUCGCCAAGGAUGUUUUCAUUAAUCAGGGAACGAAAGUUAGGGGAUCGAAGACGAUCAGAUACCGU